GUUUGACAGUAUAUUUGAAUUUUUAGUUAUUGUUUGAAAUAUUUAUAUAUAAUUAUGUAGGUUUAUGUGCUAUUUUGAUUAUAUAGAAAAUAUAUUAUGGAAAGAUUAUAUAUUAUAAUAUGUGAAAUAUAUUUGAAGAUUUUUAGAUAUACAGAUUUUAUAUUAUUUUUUUAUUUUGUUCUAUGUAUCUUUUGGAGUAAUUUGGUAAGAUGUGGUGCUAUAUUAGGAUUGUUUUAUUUUCAAUAAAUAUAUGAAGGUCUCAAAGGUGAUUUUCAAUGUAAAUCGAGUACUUGUAUGAAUUUUUUCAAGAGAUAUUGA
rnacentral:lncRNA from 1 species